UACGUAGGGGGCUAGCGUUGUCCGGAAUCAUUGGGCGUAAAGAGCGUGUAGGCGGUCCGGUAAGUCCGCUGUGAAAGUCGGGGGCUCAACCCUCGAAUGCCGGUGGAUACUGUCGGGCUAGAGUGCGGAAGAGGCGAGUGGAAGUUCCUGGUGUAGCGGUGAAAUGACGCAGAUAUCAGGAGGAACACCUAUUGCGAAGGCAGCUCGCUGGGACGGUACUGACGCUGAGGCGCGACAGCGUGGGGAGCAAACAGG
rnacentral:rRNA from 1 species